AAAAAGUUAGUUAAAUUAAUAACAUUAAUAUGUCAAAUUAAAAUUACUAAUAUUUAGUACUUUUUG
rnacentral:tRNA from 1 species